GGGUUAAGGGUAUAUGUGGCUUAAUUAGGUCUAGCUUGAGCAGUUGAUCAAACUGAAUCAAAUAUUGAUUAGGAUUAGGUCAAAUAUGCUCAUGACCAAUCCAAUUAGUUGUAAUUUGAUUAGAUUGAUUAACAGCCAUAUGUUAUCGAUCAACUUAAGAUUUAAUUUGGCUCAGUGAUUCGAGUCCAGGUCAAUAAACAAACUUGAUCGAUU
rnacentral:lncRNA from 1 species